GACUUCUUAGCUCAGUGGCAGAGCACUAGUCUUGUAAACUAGGGGUCAUGAGUUCAAUUCUCAUAGAGGGCA
rnacentral:tRNA from 1 species